CUGCUCCUUAUUGGUUAGCCUUCCAUAGUGAAAACUUCAUGCUGCUGCCUUCAUGGCUGCCACUACUGACCCUUGUCACAGUAGCUACCCAGCUUAUCAGUGAUUUGAGGCUUUUAACAACUUCAUUUGAAAACAACGCUGUAAUUCCAGAGUUUAUUAUCUGUCAUGUGUACACUCUGACUGAAUGUCUCUUGUAGUCAGCGUCUCACAUGGACCCAGGUGUCGGCAGGAGUCGUGCCAAUUCUCCCGACAGAAACUACACUUUUAAAAAAACUUGCAUUAUUGACUGCUUUAAAAUAUUCACUGAUAGUGCUUGAUGUUAUUCAUCAUACAAAUAUCUGAUCGCUAUUAGCUCACAGGAAUCUAUUUGUUUAAUUUCUAAUGGAUGGGGAGACCGCCCAAGUGAUAAGUUAAUUACAAAGAAUAGUGACUUUUUAUAACACUUGCUUCCAGGAGACCUAGUUUUGGCAGGUAGGGGUUUGAUCUCAGGGAGACUGUUCAAUCUUUUCAAGGUAAAAUAAGGAUUCCAGCAUUUACUCCUGGGAAAAAGCAAUUAGAUCCUGUUGACCUUGAAAGCACUUGAACGUUGGCAUCACUUAGAAUACACAUUGAAGGGAGGAUAGGAGUAGUCAGAAAUACACUUUACUGCAAAGCACUGUACCCAUUACAUUUACAAAGAAGAUAAUGUUCUGUAUGUUGACAAAGUUGUGAAAGUGUGUUGCCCUCUCACAAAUUUAUAUGAGUUGAUUUUACUAACACAUUAGGUUACAAGGAUUGUAAAUACAAUUAGAUUUGUAAUUAAUUUUUUUCCCCUUAAGCAAACUCUACUUGAUACAUAAUAAUUUUGAAGUAAGGACGCUCAAAACAUACUAAACUAAUACUAUACAUUAGUAUAUUUAAUCUAGCAAGGCAGAGAGAUGUUUACAGCUUCUAUACUGAACUCUCAUAUACAAAACAAUGCAAGAUGGGCAAAAGUCUGGACGUGAGAGUGGCAACCUUCUUGCUUACAUGAGCUUAUAUGGAUCAUCAAGACCUGCUCCAGGAUUUGUCGAUUCUUCCCAUGUUGUCUUUUGGGAUACGUGUCACUGUUAGUCUGGCUCCAGGGAUACCCAUGUGUCCAUUCUGCCCUGAGAUAACUGCCCAUAUGUUUAUGCAUGCCUGCAAAGUCCCUGGCGUCCAAGAUUUAUCUGCUGUUUCCCUGUUAACUGCCUUCUGCAGCUCCAGCAUCUCUGAUUGCAAAAUCCUUAACAAGUCUUUAUUUUAGAAAUAUGUUCUAUUGUAAUCAGAAUCAUUGCUACAUAUUUUGUUUUAUUUUGAAAAGCUCAUAGUUGAGAAAAGGAAGUUGUAAAGAGCCUAAAAGCUUUACUGAGCAAUCAUUGGUCAAUAUUUAGGUUGUAAGAGUAGCAUAGACUGGAAGUAGUGGUGUGAAUGAGUUGAAACCUGACCAUGCAACACAAUGUGGCAAACUAGAUUGAAAACAGUUGGUACUGGCAACUACAAUGUGAACUACAAUUCUAACUCCUUUAACCUCAGUUUUUAAUAAUCUUUGUUGGCUGUAAUAGCCCAUUUAUAUAUUCAGCUCUUGUUAUUUAUAAUUCCCAUUUGGAUGGAUUUGAAAGUAUGUGUAAACUCAUAUUAUGAUCACAUUACCCAGUAUCAUGUGUUUGCAGACACAUUAACCUUUGUGAAGCUCACAGUUUUAAAGAAAUCUGUUCGUAUUCUGAGAUAUUGAAAAGGUAAAGUGACUCCCGUUGGGAGCAGCUACCCUGUUCUUUUCCUCUGUAGGACUCUGUAAAAUUGAGGAUGAAAUCAAAAGAGUGGCGUAGCUUAAUUUACUGAAUAAUAUAAUAUAGUCUGUGCCAUUCCUGAAUUCGCCAGAUAAUUCAGAGGCGUUUUGAAUUGGGUGAGUUUCACCACCUACUGUAGGAGCUGCGUGCUAGCGACGCUUGCUUUCAGCGCUAUUUAUGUCUCUCCCGAGCCCAGUUUGACAACCUGCUGACCGGCAACGGUGCCUGCAUCUCCCACCAGGAAACAAAAUACAGGUGCUCCAUUUCAGCUGAAGAGCAUCUGUCGAUCUAUUUCAGAUUAGUGGGCAUCAUUCAGAAGGCUUGAUGUAGUGAUCCGGAGUAAAACAUAUUUUUCCUGUUGGAAAAUCCCCCACUACAUCACAAAGCGGAGUCACUCUGAUUGGUUGACACCCCGCGUCCAGCUUCAAAAGUUUUGAUUUUCCAACUCUUGCGCCAGCUGCUCUAGAGGCGCGUAACGCACGCCAAACCAAAAUUGUAUCACAAAACGCACAGAAACCUUUAAAAUGCGCAGCAAGAUGCACGUGAUGCUCUGAAGGACCUCUUUAAGCCCCCUGCGGCAUGUCCACAACAGACUUUGUAAGUAAACCCGAUGCCCUUGAUGCUCAAAAGGGAUUUGGUAUGAACGCAGCAGAAGCCGUUCAGUUUCUGAGAACCCUACUGUUGAUCAUUCGUGCUUACAACUUGGCACUGAUUCACUGUCCACUGACACAGGACAUUUCCCGAUGUCCUAUUAAGUGUCUCACAUCUAUUUCUCAUUUCCCCUGAGAUGCAUGUUGCUGUAUUUUCAUAUUUAAUGAAGUGUUCCUCCCUUUAGAGCUUAGGAAUGUACUCUGGCUGGGUUUUCUGCUCGCAACACCCUCUAAAUGUCGUUUCCAUAUCCAAGAUUAUAUCUACUUAUAGCACCUUGUGGAUGUCUGGCAAUCGCUCGACCAACCUGACCAGAUCCAAAGAUACCCAUGGAGCCUAACUGGCCAUAUUUCUCCUUAUCCGGACAGCCCGAAUCCUUCAGAUGCCUUGCUGCUCCUCAUAUGGCCUCAUUCCUGGACAACAUCACAAGAGCAUCGGCCAGGCUGCCUAUCCACCCUCAAAUCUUUCAGCUGGAAACAUCACCAACCGUUUGAGCAUACAUCACCGCUCCCCGUUGAUCUUAAUCACUGCAGAUUUUGUUAGCCUUUUUCUGUCCAUACUCAUCCUCAGACCGUAAGCCUCUGCAAAUUCCAUUCAUCGCUCUUUCCAAUGUGUCUUGUCUCGAUCUAAUCACUUACCACUCUCCUCCCUGUUGUGUUUAUGCUAAUGCAAUUUGACUAGAUUUCAUCUAAAAAGAAAAAAAAAAUCGAUCCUGUGUUUUAAUAUAUAAAACCAUUUUGAUUUGUUCAAGACCAUACUGCCCCUUAUAGAUACUGUCAUGAUACCGGGCAAGUGUUUGACCCACAUGCAGAACACAUACUCAGGAGAAGGUAGAUCAGAUUUGGAAAGCAAGGAUUUAUUGCAGUGUCACUCAAUUUAAACUUUGUGAGAGAGCGCUGAGUGGGCGUGCCAGGCUGAGCCUGCGUGCUGAUUGGCUGGCGCAGCUGCGUUACAUUA